GAUGAACGCUGGCGGCGUGCCUAAUACAUGCAAGUCGAGCGAACAGACGAGGAGCUUGCUCCUCUGACGUUAGCGGCGGACGGGUGAGUAACACGUGGAUAACCUACCUAUAAGACUGGGAUAACUUCGGGAAACCGGAGCUAAUACCGGAUAAUAUAUUGAACCGCAUGGUUCAAUAGUGAAAGACGGUUUUGCUGUCACUUAUAGAUGGAUCCGCGCCGCAUUAGCUAGUUGGUAAGGUAACGGCUUACCAAGGCAACGAUGCGUAGCCGACCUGAGAGGGGGAUCGGCCACACUGGAACUGAGACACGGUCCAGACUCCUACGGGAGGCAGCAGUAGGGAAUCUGCCGCAAUGGGCGAAAGCCUGACGGAGCAACGCCGCGUGAGUGAUGAAGGUCUUCGGAUCGUAAAACUCUGUUAUUAGGGAAGAACAAAUGUGUAAGUAACUAUGCACGUCUUGACGGUACCUAAUCAGAAAGCCACGGCUAACUACGU
rnacentral:rRNA from 1 species